rnacentral:rRNA from 1 species
CCUACGGGAGGCAGCAGUGAGGAAUAUUGGGCAAUGGACGGAAGUCUGAACCAGCCAUGCCGCGUGCAGGAAGACGGCUCUAUGAGUUGUAAACUGCUUUUGUACAAGGGUAAACCUGAAUACGUGUAUUCAGCUGAAAGUACUGUACGAAUAAGGAUCGGCUAACUCCGUGCCAUCAGCCGCGGUAAUACGGAGGAUCCAAGCGUUAUCCGGAUUUAUUGGGUUUAAAGGGUGCGUAGGCGGAUUGAUAAGUUAGAGGUGAAAUGUCCGGGCUUAACUCGGGAGUUGCCUCUAAUACUGUUGAACUAGAGAGUAGAUGCGGUAGGCGGAAUGUAAGGUGUAGCGGUGAAAUGCUUAGAGAUAAGACAGAACACCGAUUGCGAAGGCAGCUUACCAAUCUAUAUCUGACGCUGAGGCACGAAAGCGUGGGGAGCAAACAGGAUUAGAUACCCCUGUAGUC